rnacentral:misc_RNA from 1 species
GAAAGCAUCGUUCAGGUCCAAGA